CUGUCCGAGGGGCGCUGCAGCAGGGCUGUCUUCGAUGGCGCCUGUCAGGCUCGGAUGGGGCGUUCCCCAAACGCAUCAACGGCGCCCAUUCGCA
rnacentral:ncRNA from 2 species